rnacentral:rRNA from 1 species
UACGAAGGGGGCUAGCGUUGUUCGGAAUUACUGGGCGUAAAGCGCACGUAGGCGGAUGUUUAAGUCGGGGGUGAAAUCCUGGAGCUCAACUCCAGAACUGCCUUCGAUACUGGCGAUCUCGAGUUCGGGAGAGGUGAGUGGAACUGCGAGUGUAGAGGUGAAAUUCGUAGAUAUUCGCAAGAACACCAGUGGCGAAGGCGGCUCACUGGCCCGAUACUGACGCUGAGGUGCGAAAGCGUGGGGAGCAAACAGG